rnacentral:rRNA from 1 species
UACCAGCUCUCCGAGUGGUAGGGAUGAUUAUUGGGCUUAAAGCGCCCGUAGCCGGCUUAGCAAGUCUCCUGUUAAAUUCAGCGACCUAAUCGUUGAGCCGCGGGAGAUACUACUAGGCUAGGAGGCGGGAGAGGUCGACGGUACUUCUGGGGUAGGGGUGAAAUCCUAUAAUCCCGGGAGGACCACCAGUGGCGAAGGCUGUCGACUAGAACGCGCUCGACGGUGAGGGACGAAAGCUGGGGGAGCGAACCGGAUUAGAUACCCGGGUAGUCCCAGCUGUAAACGAUGCGGGCUAGGUGUUGGGGUGGCUACGUGCCACUUCAGUGCCGCAGGGAAGCCAUUAAGCCCGCCGCCUGGGGAGUACGGCCGCAAGGCUGGAACUUAAAGGAAUUGGGCGGGGGAGCGACCACAAGGCGUGAAGCUUGCGGUUC